rnacentral:rRNA from 1 species
AGUAACACGUGGGUAACCUGCCUUAUAGUGGGGGAUAGCCUUUCGAAAGGAAGAUUAAUACCGCAUAAGAUUGUAGUAUCGCAUGAUAUAGCAAUUAAAGAAGCAAUCCGCUAUAAGAUGGACCCGCGUCGCAUUAGCUAGUAGGUGGGGUAACGGCUCACCUAGGCGACGAUCCCUAGCUGGUCUGAGAGGAUGACCAGCCACACUGGAACUGAGACACGGUCCAGACUCCUACGGGAGGCAGCAUG